UGGAGUAGAACAUUAAAAAUUUCAAAGCGAGGACAGGAAAUCCAAGGAAAAUGUUUCUCCAUUUUGGAAUAUUACUUCUUCUGUCCCAUGGACUGCUUGGCGAAGUGGAGGAUUCGGAAGCUAUAGAUGGAGACACCCGAAUAGUAGGUGGCAAAGAUGCCACUCCAGGCAUAGCUAAGUACUUGGUUUCAAUUCGUGCUCAUAACAGAAACCAAGAAUGGCACAAUUGCGGAGGUUCAAUUUUAAACAAAGAGUACGUUUUAACAGCCGGUCAUUGCCUUUAU